rnacentral:lncRNA from 1 species
ACCUGGCAAUAUCAUGGUCAAAGAAUUAUCUCUUUGUGAAUUACAUCAAGUUCUUCCAAAGAGAAGAUUCUUCCACCUCAACAUUCUGAUGACUCACUCUAUUAGUAGAGUAAGUUUUUUUCCAUCAUUUUCCCUUCACUUUGCCUAUUUUACAACAUUAAGGGCAGGGCUACACUUGUCAUUGAUUGUUGUUCCGUGAGUCUCACCAUUAUUGUCUUUAUUUACACACAAUUCUUAAAGUCAAAGAAGAUAUGUAGAAAGAAAUUUUGUGUCCAAGUGGUAGAUAUGUAGAAAGAAAAUCCUCAACAUAUCAUCGCAUUGGUUCCACAUUUUUGCUUUUCCAAGAUUUCAACUUCACCGGUUCAUUCUGCUCAUUGCUCCUUAAAUUUGAAAUCCAAUUCCUCUCUUGAAAUAAAGUAGAAGCAGCAUGUCUCUAAUAAUAGUUAUGUACAAUGAACUAUGAAGUAAUAGAGAUUUUUAUCGAAUAGUAAUAUAUCAACGAAUCAUUAAGCAAAAUUUAUCACGAAGCUCUCAGAAAUGUCAUAUAACCCCCACCUGCACCCUCAAGAGUGUACAGUACAGUAGAAGUAUAAGCACUCUCAUGACUUCAAACAAAUAAAGAUUCCACCCUGUUUUAUACAUUGGCAUCAUUAGAUAAACCAAUAAAACAACUAAUACUAAUUGUCAUCAGCAAUUUUAUUUAUUUUUUUGUAGCCAAAAUAUUGACUUCAGAAUUUGAGUCUUAAACUUUUGACAGUUCACCAUCACUAAAAUAGGCCAACAGAUUGGUCUCUAGUGAUAACCAAUUGGAGCAGCAGCCUCCCGUAGCUCUCGUCCUUGGUAAUGUAUAUCCUGCAAUUCAUUCCAGCAAAAUACAAUCAGUACUCUUGAAUCCCAUUCAUACUCACAUGAAGGUUCUAAGAUUUUUUCCAUUACAAAAAAGAAUAUGAAAAGAAAUUGAAAGCUCUCUAUUACCAUGAUUUUGAAUGUAUAAAGACUUAAUUAUGUCACAGUUCAAGAAAUGUGUACUUUAUACACUCUGAAUCAUAAUAAAUCGGGUACAUUAUGUUAGGAAAAAUAAAAAGACAGAUCAUGGACAUGCGUCUAGCUGCCUCUUGAAUUUGUAGGUAAAUCUUGCCUUAGCACACAAGAUUGGCAUGGUUGACAUAAAACCAAACGCACCAUUAGUUUUUGUUGAAAAACUGAUAGGAUAACCUUUACAUUGAGAGGAUAACCUUACACAUGUUUACUUGAUCAUUUUUUUAUUAUUGAUUUACAGAUAAAUAAAUAGAUAGAUUGAGUGAAACAAAGGGAUAGACAACAUACCGAAGCAAAAUGGUUAACAUCGCGAUGAUGUGCUUCAUCAGCUCUGACAACCUCUACAACAUCCCUUAAAGUAGAGUUUUGGGGAAGCUGCCAAUAGUCAAUAGCAAUAGCUGGAGCAGGAACGUUUUCGAUGUUGCCUUUAUCAAGUUCCUUGAGAAACUCAGUGUAUGAGUGAAUAGCUUCCUCCUCAAGGUAACCAACCAUACGGUGUGCAAAUUUUGGUGAGAGCAAAUAGCCUAAGAAAUAAGCAUUGAAGAAAACACCUUGGACAGUUAUGACCAGAGCACGUUCAUACCACUUUGGUUUUGCCACUUCCAUGAAAGUCAUUAGAUGCAUGCGCUCGUUCUCGGCUUCUUCUAGCAAUGCUUUGAUCCAUCCACCACUUUGCUCAAAUCGGCGCAAUGAUUUGCAGUGAAGCAGCAUUCCUCCUACCAUCCCAGGGACAGCAGCUACUGUCUCAAGCAUCAUUGCUCGGCAUCCAUACCUUCUCUG